CUGCAGUCGAACGGUAGCAGGAAGUGCUUGCACUUUGCUGACGAGUGGCGGACGGGUGAGUAAUGCUUGGGAACUUGCCUUUGCGAGGGGGAUAACAGUUGGAAACGACUGCUAAUACCGCAUAAUGUCUACGGACCAAACGGGGCUUAGGCUUCGGCGCAGAGAGAGGCCCAAGUGAGAUUAGCUAGUUGGUGGGGUAAAGGCUCACCAAGGCGACGAUCUCUAGCUGUUCUGAGAGGAAGAUCAGCCACACUGGGACUGAGACACGGCCCAGACUCCUACGGGAGGCAGCAGUGGGGAAUAUUGCACAAUGGGGGGAACCCUGAUGCAGCCAUGCCGCGUGUGUGAAGAAGGCCUUCGGGUUGUAAAGCACUUUCAGUUGUGAGGAAAAGUGAGUAGUUAAUACCUGCUCACCGUGACGUUAACAACAGAAGAAGCACCGGCUAACUCCGUGCCAGCAGCCGCGGUAAUACGGAGGGUGCGAGCGUUAAUCGGAAUUACUGGGCGUAAAGCGCACGCAGGCGGUUUGUUAAGCUAGAUGUGAAAGCCCCGAGCUCAACUUGGGAUGGUCAUUUAGAACUGGCAGACUAGAGUCUUGGAGAGGGGAGUGGAAUUCCAGGUGUAGCGGUGAAAUGCGUAGAUAUCUGGAGGAACAUCAGUGGCGAAGGCGACUCCCUGGCCAAAGACUGACGCUCAUGUGCGAAAGUGUGGGUAGCGAACAGGAUUAGAUACCCUGGUAGUCCACACCGUAAACGCUGUCUACUAGCUGUUUGUGGCUUUAAGCCGUGAGUAGCGAAGCUAACGCGAUAAGUAGACCGCCUGGGGAGUACGGCCGCAAGGUUAAAACUCAAAUGAAUUGACGGGGGCCCGCACAAGCGGUGGAGCAUGUGGUUUAAUUCGAUGCAACGCGAAGAACCUUACCUACACUUGACAUGCAGAGAACUUUCCAGAGAUGGAUUGGUGCCUUCGG
rnacentral:rRNA from 1 species